GAAUGGGCAGAAAAGAUGAGCUGCGCGGAAAAAUCCAUUCAAGUAUGGGUUUUGCAAAAUUGCCUCUUUGAUUGGAAGCUUACCCAGAAAUUAGGGUUAGGUACAUGCACCAGGUUAGGGUUAGGGUUAGGAAAACGAGGUGUCCUGGCAUGCUCUUGAUGGUUGGAAUGUGCUUAGAAUUGGCAGAAAAAUUGAGCUGCGCAGAAACAUCCACUCAAGGAUGGUUUUUUCCUAAUUGCCGCAUUUUGAAUGGAAGCUUACCCAGAAAUUAGGGUUAGGUAUAUGCACCAGGUUAGGGUUAGGGUUACCAAAACGAGGUGUCCUGGCAUGCUCUUGAUGGUUGGAAUGUGCUUAGAAAUGGCAGAAAAAUUGAGCUGCGCAGAAACAUCCACUCAAGGAUGGUUUUUUCCUAAUUGCCGCAUUUUGAAUGGAAGCUUACCCAGAAAUUAGGGUUAGGUAUAUGCACCAGGUUAGGGUUAGGGUUAGAAAAACGAGGUGUCCUGGCAUGCUCUUGAUGGUUGGAAUGUGUUUAGAAUGGGCAGAAAAGGUGAGCUGCGCAGAAAAACUGACUCAAGGGUGGGUUUUCCAAAAUUGCGGCAUUUUGAAAGGAAGCUUACCCAGAAAUUAGGGUUAGGUAUAUGCACCAGGUUAGGGUUAGGGUUAGCAAAACGAGGUAUCCUGGCAUGCUCUUGAUGGUUGGAAUGUGCUUAGAAUUGGCAGAAAAAUUGAGCAGCGCAGAAACAUCCACUCAAGGAUGGGUUUCUCAAAAUUGCCGCAUUUUGAAUGGAAGCUUACCCAGAAAUUAGGGUUAGGUAUAUGCACCAGGUUAGGGUUAGGGUUA